AAUACGGGCCUCCUGCGUUUGGGCUCUUAAAUCUUCCGAAAUCAACUUUUCGGACCUCAUAUCCGACCCAGGUUAAAAACAGUUGACAUACCCUAAUCUUCUAAAAUCGUCAUAGAAUAAACCAUCUUCUUUCAUCUUCUUCCAAUCUUCGUUACACAUCCUCUAUGCAAUCAAUCGUUUGCUUUAAUUCCCUCUUAAUGAUUUCCUUUGGCCUCCUCUCUUUCUCAUUCUUUAUAAACUCUUUCUUUUUAGCUUUUUUAGCUUGCUAAGAAUCAAAACCCGAAAAGCUCAUCUCAAUAAGCGCAAGCCAUGGCAAAACCCAACCGAUAGUCACCUAUUCAACCAGAAAUCUCCUCUCCUCUCGCUUUGUAUUUCACAUCUCACCCGAAAAACGCAGAAAAAGUAUGGAACUUUAUUGGACUUGAAAUGGUCAUCAUGGACGAACAGGUUUGUGUCUUUAACCCAAAAUUGUUUCUUUAAAUUGAUAUCAAUUUUGUGAUUAUUAUCAUCUGCCAUAAAAUUGAACAGAAGAGGCGUACUUUAGCUGCCUUUCAUUUGUUUAUAAUUAGAUCUUUUGUAUUGAGUGUGAAUUUAUUUAUUUAAUUUGAAACCAAGAAGUCCAACUAAUCUGUGGUUUGGUUCAUGCUAUUUGUGUUUUCUGUUCUGAAGUUUUUUUUAGUUGCUUGCUUAGAUUUCUAUAAAUCGCUUCCCUCUGUAAUUGUGCAUUGUCUCAACAUUUAAACACAUGAUAAAAGAAGUAGCUAUCUAUGAACUCAGUAGGUUUGAUGGUAACUUUUGUUAAUUUUCAAAGGCGGAGGAUUUGCUGAUGCAUAAAUGAUUUACAAUAUUUUUGAAGUUAAUGACAUUGGAAAGACAUGCUUCGUACUAUAUAGCUUAUGCUUUUCACAUGGAGUUCAAAUCUGAGGUGGAAAACACCACUGAGAUCUUCAGUCUCAGAAUAUCUAGAAAGGCAGAGUCUAUGGAAAGUUGAAUGAUUCUUACGAAAAAUUCAUGCGCAUUCGAGGGACCUUCUCCUAUCUACACUGAAACUACAUGACUGGAGGAGAGCGCAGAGGAGAGGAUAAAAGAAAAAAAAAUCUUUACCUAGAAAAUGGACACAUUAAAGGUUUCUACUCUUUGCUUACUCUUUUGAAGGUUUUGGUAGACAAAGAAGAAUUUAUAGCACUGGGAAUAAGAACUAAACCAUCUCAUAAUUAUCAACUGCUCUGCUGCUUAAUGAUGGCUGUGAGACUAAGAAGUAGGAGUAUGAUUCAUUCACGAAAACAAUCAUGAAGUGUUUAUUUAUCAGCUUCGUACAAUGAACAUCCUCCACUAAAUUCAUAAGUGAGUUUAUCUCUUCCUUUCACAACAAGUCAAGUUCUUAAGUUUUUAUUAUUUGAACAUUUGUACAUUUCGUUUAUCAUGUUUGUCUUUGACUUUUAUGUCGUACACUGUCAAACAUUUGUAGACAUGACCUUUUAUUACUAAGUUCUGUUUCUUGGUUGCAAGUAGUGAGCUUACAGUAGCUCAUAGAAUAGAAGCUCAACUUGACCGAAUCCAAUCUUUAAAACAAAUUAUUGCUUGAUGAAUCCUUCCUUUGCUGGAUAAUGUUACACUAAUUUUUAUGCUAAAUAACACUUAGUAAACGUGUUGCAGAAUCUAGAAAUCAAUAAAAUCAAUGAGGAGAAAAAAACAUCAAUGGACAAUGGUUGCUGAGUAUUCUGCGGAAGCCAUCUUAAGAAGGGUCCAUGCUCUACAAAACGAUGAUUUUAUGCCUCCAAUUGAAGCCAUCCUUGCUCCAUUAGAAGCUGAGCUUAAGCUUGCACGAUAAGAGGUAUUUUAUGUUCUUUGUAAGUUCAAUUUCUUGCUCUCUAACUUCAUAUAGGAAUAUGUAAAAUUGAUGAAGUCACUGAUCAGCUGCUUUGUUUUUGCCUAGGUUGGGAAGGUUAAAGAAGAUAAGAUGGUUUUGAAUCGUAUAACUUAAUCAAAAUAAGCUGCCUUACUUAAUGCUGAGAGGACUAUUGGAUGUGCCCUGGCAAAAAGCAGUGAUGAUUGAUGAUGUUAAAAAUAGAUGUCAUGAGUUAAUGAAACAAAAACAAAUCUGACAGGUUCUGUAGUUAUCUUAAUUCUUUGUAUGUAUUCUCAACACGCUAGAGAUAGGAAAUCUCCCAGUACAACUAUGUUAUGACGAUCAAAGACAAAAGUUUGAAAGCUGUUCUAUUGUACUUGCCAUUACCAAUAUUCAUUUGUGUACAAAUAUAUGUUUUGUCCUAUCAAGAGUGUUUUUUGUAAUCAACGUAUAAGGACUCAAAAGAGAAAAAUAUUGCUUAUAAAUAAAUAAACAAUGGCUUUACAACUUAAAUAAAGUUGGUAAGAAAUGCGUUUUUAGUUGAAAAGGCCUUAUGGAGCCUUCGAUGGAGAAUGAACACAAAUCUCGAAAAGUGAAGAGGAAUUCGCUUGAGUGAGAACAACAAGAACACCAUUGCACUGCGGGAACCACCGGCUGGAGGAGAAUGGUCGAGUAUGCUUUCACCAGACGCAUUUGAACAUAGAAGAGAGAAAUAGAUCAGGAGGAAACGGUCCCGCCGACGUCAGCUCCAGUUAACCACCGGACGAAUUCUAAGGUGUGCCAAUACCAGUGGAGAAAAUGAGAGCGAGACUGAGAAUUGGAAUAUUUCAGCUCUACGGAUCAUAUUAGUUUUCAAAACUAGAAUCAUGCAAAAGAAGGAGUCGUAAGAGUGCAAUACACUCAGAAGAAAUGGUAUAUGGCUAAUUUAAUUCUUCCCAUAAUGUUUUGAUUGAUCUUUAGCUUGCUAUCUUAUUUUCUAAUCUGAUUCUUUUGUUGUCUGGUUGUAAUUAGCAGCUCGGCCACAAAAAAAUUAAUCACCUUAAAUGACCAUGGCUCCCUUUAGCUUAACAUUGGUCAUCUUGAUCCUGAUGCUAUCUACUCUGGCCAGUUCACCACACUCCCCUCUGAGUAUAUGUCUGUGUCCAGAUUUGACAUAUAGCUCUCAACUAAUCCACUUUAGAUUACUUUGUCAUCAUCUCAAAUCUCGAAUGAGUCUUCCAUAACUGUAUUUAGCAAAAAGAAUGAUUGUGUUUCUCUUUUAAUGUUUUCAUUUUUAUGAAACAUAACAACAAUGAUACUUAAAAUGUUUGUUUAAGUAAUUUUUUCUAAUUAAUUAUUUGUAUUAAAACAGUCGUGGAUAUGAAACUAUUUUACUAAAUGCUUUUUCAUGUUUUUGGCAAAAAAAUACUUUUUCAUGUUCCACCGUCUCACUUAUCAGUCGUACACAUGUAUCUAUCACCUGAUUUCUUUUGUUUAGUUGAAACUAUUAUAAUAUUAAACUAAUCGUACUUUUAUCAUUUUAAUCAAACAUAAAAGUUUCAACUGUAACAUUGAAAUGCACUUCACAACUAAAUUCUUUAAAAAUGGGGAUGAAAAUAAUGAAUAUGGUUCACUCAGCUAUUCUUACAAAUCAAGCAUCUAAAAUAGGAAGAGAUAUAACAAAACACUAUUAUCAAUUAGAUUAAAGUAUAUGAACCACAAAACAUUAAAAAAAACUUAUGGUUCAAAUAAAACUAUAUUAUUAAUUAGAUUAUAUAUAUAACAAAACACAAGCAAAGAUAAAAAAAAA